UAAAAAGGUCUUUGUUCAUCAAAACGAACAUUGAAAGAAAAUAAGAAUUUAAACUGAAUAGAGAAUUUCAGACUGUGAGAAGAGAAAGAGGAGAAAAAAAAAAGGGGGGGGUUUGAUAAACAACAAGUAUUCUGCUUAAGAAUUGUGCAAAUGCAGCUAGCACAGAAGACUGUGUAACUAACUAUAUACAAGCUAACUUUUAGACCAAGGACAACCGGCAAAGAAGAUAAGGAGCCUUCAUCCCUAUGAUCACCAAGGGCAGAGAGAAAAAGGACCCCCUAGCAACCAAUUGCACCGGCGCAGAGUGCAUCGAGAGAAAAUACGUCAACCGAAAAAGAGGGGGGACUAUAAAAACAAAAAGGUCAAAGGGGGAAGGUGCGCCGUGGCAGAGUGGAAACUCCCCGGCCGCCCAGCGCUGUUUUUUGCUUAAUACCGCUUGCUUAAUAAAUUCUUGUUAAUUGAUUUAUCUAUAAUUAGCCUCCCCAAUUGACUUUGUCCAUAACAAAUUUGGUGCCGUGACUCGGAUAAGGGCAAACGGGCAGGAAUUCCUAAUCAGGGAGGCGCCCCGCUGCCUUUUCAGCGGCCCUGGUGCAGGCUUUUCCUUCUCGGGCCCUUACCGACGAACCUAAAUUCGGUAUUAAGCAAAAGGGAUACCGGUAACCCCGUAAUCUUUGUGCACGAAGCCCGGGCGAAGACGCAGGACAGCAAACUGCAGUCAGAACCGCCGAGAAGGGAUGGACACAUGCGAGCCGAAUAAAGGGACCGAUUACUGCUGCUGCUGCCGAAGACCCCUGGAGAAUAACCAGCCAACCCGGAGAUCUUAAGGUCACAUUUAAACGGACUUAAUGGACUCAGUAAAAAUUGUACAAACCAGCUGGUAUAGUGAGAUAUUGGAUUAUGGAUAUCCUGUAACUGAUGAUUUUAGAGUCUAUUGUACAAAUAAGGAUUGUGAUUGUUACCCUUUUGUAUGCUAUAUUUGUAAAAUCUGCCAGGAACGGUGGUGGGUCCAUAGUUAUAGAGGUACCCCUCCUAGGGGUAUUUGUAAAGGGUGUUACCAAUUAGAAAGAGAACUGACAAAGUCAGUCCUAAAGAUUGGAGAAGAGAACGAGACCCUACCAAGGGAAUCCCAAGAGUGGUGGGAGGUGUUUACUAAGGGGGCUAGGCCUGAAAAUUGUUGUUACCACUCUAAUGAACCAAUUCCCCUAAUUGUUCAAAUUAUAAAAGGGAAUUGCCUGAAGACUUUACCUGGAAUUCAGUGUAAUUCACCGCAAGUGAAGGAUAAGAAUUGGGAAUCAUUCAAAAAGAGGCAGCAAAAAACAGAGUAAGGGUCCUCCUGAAGAAUAUCCUUGCUGCCGAGAAGAUGGUACACCUCGCGGCUCGAAGCAACCGGGUCGGCGAGCGAGGCAGAGGGAUAAGAAGCAGUGGAGGAAAAAGCCCUCAAACUGGGACAAUUCAAAGGUAUUUCAAGAACUGCCUCAAGGGUACUGAUCUCCCAAGGGUAAAGGUGAGCCCGGCAAUAACAUGUCAAACCAAACAGCGGGAAGGGGGAAAUAAUGAUAAUCAAGUUCUGGGGUGGUUUGGACUCCACCCUUGCUGGCAAAUUCUGUACAUAUUAGUUAUAUGUUGUACCUGGCCUGUACAAGGGGACUAUGCACACCAGCCAUUUAAUUGGACUCUGACCAAAAUAGACCAAGGGAAAGUUGUUAAGCAAAAUGCCACCACUGUAGCUCCUACUUUUUUAGUUACUAAUGAGGACUUGGUGAACUCUGUGUGGGGAUGGAGUAAACCUGACUUCCACGCUAUCUAUUGGUGUCCUAGCUCCAAUCCUGGGAGGGGAUAUUGUAAUUACCCUGGGGAAUAUCUAUGUGGAUAUUGGGGCUGUGAAACCAUAGCAACUGCCUGGGCUGUCACCCAUCCAGAUAAAUUUUUACAGGUCUCAUGGUAUCCUAAAGGAUGCAAAGUUCCAUGGUAUGGCACUCAAGGAGAAAUUCUGUAUAUGGGGAAUUGUAGGUCCUUGAAAAAUACAGGUGCUCAACCCCCUGGACCCAGGAUGGCUGGUAGGAAAAACUUGGGGAGUAAGGUGUUGGGAACCGGGUAAGGAUCGUGGAGGGUACAUUCAAAUAAAAAAGGAAAUCCUACCACAUGAUCCUCUACCCAUAGGCCCUAACUCUGUAAUUGCUGAGGAGAAGUUAACUGAGACAGCUAUAGGGACCAGUGACACCACAAUGCCCGGAAACGGGACCCUCAUACUCCCGACCCCGGAUCCCCAGCAAAGUACCCUUUGGAAACUUAUGCAGGCAGCGUACCAAGUCCUCAAUGUAACACGACCUAACAUUACUGAACAAUGCUGGCUGUGCUUUGAUAUUAAACCUCCUUUCUAUGAGGCAGUAGGGCUCAAUGAGAAACCCAAGCGAGUUAAUGGGAGCAAUCCGCCACAAUGUAACUGGAAAGACCCCCAAACCCAAGGGAUAACGUUAGCAGCAGUAACUGGAAAGGGACGAUGCAUAGGGAGAGUCCCGUGGCAAAAGAAACAUUUGUGUAAAACAGUCAGUAAAGCACAGCAUAGGAGUAACCCGGCAAAAUGGUUGAUUCCAGCCAAAAAUACUAAAUGGAUAUGCUCCAGAGGGGGGCUUACACCCUGUAUUGCUCUUGACCUAUUCAACGAAGUCUCUGAGUUUUGCAUACAAGUGGUAAUAGUCCCUAAAAUCAUUUAUCAUCCUGAGGAAUAUGUGUUUAAUGCUCAAGUCACUUCUGAACAUCACUUAUCAAAAAGGGAACCCUUCACAGCCUUGACAGUGGCUACCCUAAUGAUUGUAGGUGGAACAGGUGUUGGCACCGGGGUGGCAUCAUUAGUAAAACAGAAUCAAGAAUUUAAUUCCUUGAGGAUUGCUGUAGAUGAAGACUUAGCCCGCAUUGAACAGUCGAUCUCAGCCCUUGAAAAGUCUGUAAGAUCCCUGUCAGAGGUAGUAUUAUAAAAUCGUAGAGGAUUGGACUUAAUAUUCUUGCAACAGGGAGGAUUAUGUGCUGCCCUUAGGGAGGAAUGCUGUGUGUAUGCAGACCACACGGGAAUUGUGAGAGAUACAAUGACUAAACUAAGGGAAGGCCUCGAACGGAGAAAGAGGGAGAGAGAGUCACAGCAAAGCUGGUAUGAGACUUGGUUCAACAGCUCCCCUUGGCUUACCACGCUACUAUCAACACUUGCAGGUCCUGUGAUAUUGUUGUUACUAGGUUUAACUUUCGGACCUUGCAUUUUUAAUAAAAUCAUAGACAUUGUAAAAGGAAGACUAGAGGCAGCUCAUCUAAUGCUUAUUAGGGAGAGGUACGAAGCAUUGCCCAGGGACUCAGAAGUAGAUGAAACCCUGGUCUUAAGCCACCAAGAGUUAAAGCGUUUUAAUGAACAAAUUGGUAAAGAGAAAGAGGAGGGAUUGUAAUAAAAAGGUCUUUGUUCAUCAAAACGAACAUUGAAAGAAAAUAAGAAUUUAAACUGAAUAGAGAAUUUCAGACUGUGAGAAGAGAAAGAGGAGAAAAAAAAAAGGGGGGGGUUUGAUAAACAACAAGUAUUCUGCUUAAGAAUUGUGCAAAUGCAGCUAGCACAGAAGACUGUGUAACUAACUAUAUACAAGCUAACUUUUAGACCAAGGACAACCGGCAAAGAAGAUAAGGAGCCUUCAUCCCUAUGAUCACCAAGGGCAGAGAGAAAAAGGACCCCCUAGCAACCAAUUGCACCGGCGCAGAGUGCAUCGAGAGAAAAUACGUCAACCGAAAAAGAGGGGGGACUAUAAAAACAAAAAGGUCAAAGGGGGAAGGUGCGCCGUGGCAGAGUGGAAACUCCCCGGCCGCCCAGCGCUGUUUUUUGCUUAAUACCGCUUGCUUAAUAAAUUCUUGUUAAUUGAUUUAUCUAUAA